rnacentral:rRNA from 1 species
GAUGAACGCUGGCGGCGUGCCUAAUACAUGAAAGUCGAGCGAACGGACGAGAAGCUUGCUUUUCUGAUGUUAGCGGCGGACGGGUGAGUAACACGUGGAUAACCUACCUAUAAGACUGGGAUAACUUCGGGAAACCGGAGCUAAUACCGGAUAAUAUUUUGAACCGCAUGGUUCAAAAGUGAAAGACGGUCUUGCUGUCACUUAUAGAUGGAUCCGCGCUGCAUUAGCUAGUUGGUAAGGUAACGGCUUACCAAGGCAACGAUGCAUAGCCGACCUGAGAGGGUGAUCGGCCACACUGGAACUGAGACACGGUCCAGACUCCUACGGGAGGCAGCAGUAGGGAAUCUUCCGCAAUGGGCGAAAGCCUGACGGAGCAACGCCGCGUGAGUGAUGAAGGUCUUCGGAUCGUAAAACUCUGUUAUUAGGGAAGAACAUAUGUGUAAGUAACUGUGCACAUCUUGACGGUACCUAAUCAGAAAGCCACGGCUAACUACGUG